GUCCUAGCUUCGGCUGGACAUAUACUAAAAUUGGAACGAUACAGAGAAGAUUAGCAUGGCCCCCCCUGCGCAUUUUUUCCAGAAAAUAUACAUUAAACAUGU